UAUGCCGGAAAAGUGCACUUAUC
rnacentral:siRNA from 1 species